rnacentral:rRNA from 2 species
CGUAACAAGGUUUCCGUAGGUGAACCUGCGGAAGGAUCAUUGUCGU